rnacentral:rRNA from 1 species
AUUGAACGCUGGCGGCAUGCCUUACACAUGCAAGUCGAACGGUAACAGGUCUUCGGAUGCUGACGAGUGGCGAACGGGUGAGUAAUACAUCGGAACGUGCCUAGUAGUGGGGGAUAACUACUCGAAAGAGUGGCUAAUACCGCAUGAGAUCUACGGAUGAAAGCAGGGGAUCGCAAGACCUUGUGCUACUAGAGCGGACGAUGGCAGAUUAGGUAGUUGGUGGGAUAAAAGCUUACCAAGCCGACGAUCUGUAGCUGGUCUAAGAGGACGGUCAGCAACACUGGGGCUUAGAAACGGCCCAGACUCCUACGGGAGGCAGCAGUGGGGAAUUUUUGACAAGGGGCGCAAGCAUGAUCCAGCAAUGCCGCGUGCAGGAUGAAGGCCUUCGGGUUGUAAACUGCUUUUGUACGGAACGAAAAGCCCCGGGUUAAUACCCUGGGGUCAUGACGGUACCGUAAGAAUAAGCACCGGCUAACUACGUGCCAGCCGCCGCCGUAA